GAUGAACGCUGGCGGCGUGCUUAACACAUGCAAGUCGAACGAAGCACCUUAACGGAACUCUUCGGAGGGAAGUUAUUGUGACUGAGUGGCGGACGGGUGAGUAACGCGUGGGUAACCUGCCUUACACAGGGGGAUAACAGUUAGAAAUGACUGCUAAUACCGCAUGACCCGCUAGUACCGCAUGGUACAGACGGAAAAGAUUUAUCGGUGUAAGAUGGACCCGCGUCUGAUUAGCUGGUUGGUGAGGUAACGGCUCACCAAGGCGACGAUCAGUAGCCGGCUUGAGAGAGUGGACGGCCACAUUGGGACUGAGACACGGCCCAG
rnacentral:rRNA from 1 species